rnacentral:lncRNA from 1 species
CUGAGAUCAUCAUGGUGACUUGCAAGCAACUCACUGUGCUUUGGUGCCAAACUAUCUAAAUCUCUAAUUCUAGAUCGAAAGAUUUUUGGAUACAGUCAAGUACUUGUGAAGUCGAUGCAUGAGUCAAAAUGAAAUUGACCACUCUAAGAGAUUGGAGAGAAUGAUUUGUAUUUCAAUUUAGUAAGAUCUUGGCCAGGGC